UACGGAGGGUGCGAGCGUUGUCCGGAAUCAUUGGGCGUAAAGGGCGCGUAGGUGGCCCGGUCAGUUCGUGGUGAAAGCGCGGGGCUCAACCCUGCGUCGGCCAUGAAUACUGCCGCGGCUGGAGCACUGUAGAGGCAGGCGGAAUUCCGGGUGUAGCGGUGGAAUGCGUAGAGAUCCGGAAGAACACCAGUGGCGAAGGCGGCUCACUGGCCCGGUACUGACGCUGAUGUGCGAAAGCGUGGGGAGCAAACAGG
rnacentral:rRNA from 1 species